CUAUCGCCCAAUACCCAGGACAUACAGCUCCGGGUAUCACACGGUUACUUCUUGUCCUUUAUCCCUGCUGUGUGCAAGCAGCAGGGCUCCUACAUAGGUUCCUGGAGGGCACUGAAUUCUACAAACCAAUACAGCGUGGCAUGCAGAUUAUAACUGAAGGAGGACAGGUUUAGGGUUGCAUUCAGUCAGCACACACCACACAAACUGCAUACAGCCAGCAAGCUUACUUACCUUUCCAGCAGCUCCCUGUGUAAAUCUCGCGGUGUGCGUGCUGCGCGGAGCGUUGCCAUUGUAACCCGUGGCAGCGCUCUGACGGCUGCAGGACUCGCAAUAUUUACACAGGGAGUUGCUGGGAAGGUAAGUAAGCUUGCUGGCCCCCCCCAGGACCACCAGUCUUGUAAUGGGCC